GGCACAGUGGCUUAGUGGUUAGCACAUUUGCCUCGCACCUCCAUGGUUGAUGGUUUGAAUCCUGCCUCUGCCA